rnacentral:rRNA from 1 species
UGGGGAAUAUUGGACAAUGGGCGAAAGCCUGAUCCAGCAAUACCGCGUGAGUGAUGAAGGUUUUCGGAUCGUAAAGCUCUGUCAGAGGGGAAGAAACUCCCGGGUGCUAAUAUCGCCUGGGCCUGACGGUACCCUCAAAGGAAGCACCGGCUAACUCCGUGCCAGCAGCCGCGGUAAUACGGAGGGUGCAAGCGUUGUUCGGAAUUAUUGGGCGUAAAGCGCGUGUAGGCGGUUGUUUAAGUCUGAUGUGAAAGCCCUGGGCUCAACCCAGGAAGUGCAUUGGAAACUGGGCAACUUGAGUACGGGAGAGGGAAGUGGAAUUUCGAGUGUAGGGGUGAAAUCCGUAGAUAUUCGAAGGAACACCGGUGGCGAAGGCGGCUUCCUGGACCGAUACUGACGCUGAGACGCGAAAGCGUGGGGAGCAAACAGGAUUAGAUACCCUGGUAGUCCACGCCGUAAACGAUGGGCACUAGGUGUUGCGGGUAUUGACCCCUGCAGUGCCGAAGCUAACGCAUUAAGUGCCCCGCCUGGGGAGUACGGCCGCAAGGCUA